UUGCUCCACCGAAAGAAAAGGAGUGGCGAACGGGUGAGUAACACGUGGGUAACCUGCCCAUCAGAAGGGGAUAACACUUGGAAACAGGUGCUAAUACCGUAUAACAAUCGAAACCGCAUGGUUUCGGUUUGAAAGGCGCUUUUGCGUCACUGAUGGAUGGACCCGCGGUGCAUUAGCUAGUUGGUGAGGUAACGGCUCACCAAGGCAACGAUGCAUAGCCGACCUGAGAGGGUGAUCGGCCACAUUGGGACUGAGACACGGCCCAAACUCCUACGGGAGGCAGCAGUAGGGAAUCUUCGGCAAUGGACGCAAGUCUGACCGAGCAACGCCGCGUGAGUGAAGAAGGUUUUCGGAUCGUAAAACUCUGUUGUUAGAGAAGAACAAGGAUGAGAGUAGAAUGUUCAUCCCUUGACGGUAUCUAACCAGAAAGCCACGGCUAACUACGUGCCAGCAGCCGCGGUAAUACGUAGGUGGCAAGCGUUGUCCGGAUUUAUUGGGCGUAAAGCGAGCGCAGGCGGUUUCUUAAGUCUGAUGUGAAAGCCCCCGGCUCAACCGGGGAGGGUCAUUGGAAACUGGGAAACUUGAGUGCAGAAGAGGAGAGUGGAAUUCCAUGUGUAGCGGUGAAAUGCGUAGAUAUAUGGAGGAACACCAGUGGCGAAGGCGGCUCUCUGGUCUGUAACUGACGCU
rnacentral:rRNA from 1 species